rnacentral:rRNA from 1 species
GCAAGUCGAACGGUAACAGGACUAGCUUGCUAGUUGCUGACGAGUGGCGGACGGGUGCGUAACGCGUGGAAAUCUACCUGUGAGUUCGGGACAACCUGAGGAAACUCAGGCUAAUACCGAAUGUGGUCUACGGACUAAAGGUUGCCUCUCCUUGGAAGCAGUCGCUCAUAGAUGAGUCCGCGUUGGAUUAGCUAGAUGGUGGGGUAAAGGCCUACCAUGGCGACGAUCCAUAGCUGGUUUGAGAGGAUGAUC